UAAACUAGGAUUAGAUACCCUAUUAUUUUAUUCGUUAAUUUUUACCUGGGUAGUAAUAGAUAUAUUCUUUAAACCUAAAGAAUUUGGCGGUGUUUUAGUCUAUUCAGAGGAAUUUGUCCCGUGAUCGAUAGUCCUCGUUUUAAUCGUUCUUAAUUUUGUAAUCAGUAUGUAUACCGCCGUUAUCAGUUUAUAUUAUUAGAUUAAUAAUUUACUUUUUUCUAAAUUAAGAUUUAUUUCAGGUCAAGGUGCAGCUUAUAGUUAAGUGGAGAUGAAUUACAUUAUUAUUUAAGUAUUACGGAUUGUUUAUUUAAAUUUUAUUAUGAAGGUGGAUUUGUUGGUAAUUUUAUUUAUACUGUUAUUUUGAUUUUAGCUCUAAAAUGAGUACACAUCG
rnacentral:rRNA from 1 species